GACGAACGCUGGCGGCGUGCUUAACACAUGCAAGUCGAACGGUAAGGCCCUUCGGGGUACACGAGUGGCGAACGGGUGAGUAACGCGUGGGUGAUCUGCCCUGCACUUCGGGAUAAGCCUGGGAAACUGGGUCUAAUACCGGAUAGGACUCCUGCCUGCAUGGGUGGGGGUGGAAAGCUUUUGCGGUGUGGGAUGGGCCCGCGGCCUAUCAGCUUGUUGGUGGGGUGAUGGCCUACCAAGGCGACGACGGGUAGCCGGCCUGAGCGGGGGACCGGCCACACGGGGACUGAGCUACGGCCCAGACUCCUACGGGAGGCAGCAGUGGGGAAUAUUGCACAAUGGGCGCAAGCCUGAUGCAGCGACGCCGCGUGAGGGAUGACGGCCUUCGGGUUGUAAACCUCUUUCAGCACAGACGAAGCGCAAGUGACGGUAUGUGCAGAAGAAGGACUGGCCAACUACGUGCCAGCCGCCGCCGUAA
rnacentral:rRNA from 1 species